CCUACGUGAGGCUGCAGUGGGGGAUAUUGCACAAUGGGGGGAACCCUGAUGCAGCGACGCCGCGUGGGUGAAGAAGCGCCUCGGCGCGUAAAGCCCUGUCAGCAGGGAAGAAAAUGACGGUAUCUGAAGAAGAAGCCCCGGCUAACUACGUGCCAGCAGCCGCGGUAUUACGUAGGGGGCAAGCGUUAUCCGGAUUUACUGGGUGUAAAGGGGGGGCAGACGGCGAUGCAAGCCAGGAGUGAAAGCCCGGGGCCCAACCCCGGGACUGCUCUUGGAACUGCGUGGCUGGAGUGCAGGAGGGGCAGGCAGAAUUCCUGGUGUAGCGGUGAAAUGCGUAGAGAUCAGGAGGAACACCGGUGGCGAAGGCGGCCUGCUGGACUGCAACUGACGUUGAGGCCCGAAAGCGUGGGGAGCAAACAGGAUUAGAUACCCUGGUAGUC
rnacentral:rRNA from 1 species